rnacentral:rRNA from 1 species
GUGAUUGGAAUGAGUACACUUUAAAUCCUUUAACGAGGACCAAUUGGAGGGCAAGUCUGGUGCCAGCAGCCGCGGUAACUCCAGCUCCAAUAGCGUAUAUUAAAGUUGUUGCGGUUAAAAAGCUCGUAGUUGGAUUCCGGUCCUGGCCGGGCGGUACCGCCAUCGUGCGUGCACUGCCUAGGCGGGACAAAUAACCGGACUAUCCGGGGUGCUCUUAACUGAGUGUCCUGGGUGGCCGGUACGUUCACUUUGAACAAAUUAGAGUGCUCAAAGCAGGUGCUCCGCGCCUGAAUAUCACAGCAUGGAAUGAUGGAAUAGGACCUCGGUCUUAUUUUGUUGGUUUUCUGGACCCGAGGUAAUGGUUAAUAGAGACAGACA